rnacentral:rRNA from 1 species
AGCAGCCGCGGUAAUUCCAGCUCCAAUAGCGUAUAUUAAAAUUGUUGCAGUUAAAAAGCUCGUAGUUGAAUUUCGGGACUAAUAUGUCGGUCGUACUUUGUACGUACUAGCAUUAUUGGUUUCUCCCUUCUGACGAACCACGAUGUCAUUAAUUUGGUGUCAUGGGAAAUCAGGACUGUUACUUUGAAAAAUUAGAGUGUUUAAAGCAAGCUCGCGCUUGAAUACAUUAGCAUGGAAUAAUGAAAUAGGACGUUUGAUUCUAUUUUGUUGGUUUCUAGGAUCGACGUAAUGAUUAAUAGGGAUAGUUGGGGGCAUUAGUAUUCAAUUGUCAGAGGUGAAAUUCUUGGAUUUAUUGAAGACUAACUACUGCGAGAGCAUUUGCCAAGGAUGUUUUCAUUAAUCAAGAACGAAAGUUAGGGGAUCGAAGACGAUCAGAUACCGUCGUAGUCUUAACCAUAAACUAUGCCGACUAGGGAUCGGAUGAUGUUAAUUUUUUAA